GAUCAUGGCUCAGGACGAACGCUGGCGGCACGCUUAACACAUGCAAGUCGAACGAGAGAAGGGAAGCUUGCUUUUCUGAUCUAGUGGCGGACGGGUUAGUAACACGUGAGCAAUCUGCCUUUCAGAGGGGGAUACCGAUUGGAAACGAUCGUUAAUACCGCAUAAUAUAAUUGAACCGCAUGAUUUGAUUAUCAAAGAUUUAUCGCUGAAAGAUGAGCUCGCGU
rnacentral:rRNA from 1 species